GAUGAACGCUGGCGGCGUGCCUAAUAUAUGCAAGUCGAGCGAACGGACGAGAAGCUUGCUUCUCUGAUGUUAGCGGCGGACGGGUGAGUAACACGUGGAUAACCUACCUAUAAGACUGGGAUAACUUCGGGAAACCGGAGCUAAUACCGGAUAAUAUUUUGAACCGCAUGGUUCAAAAGUGAAAGACGGUCUUGCUGUCACUUAUAGAUGGAUCCGCGCUGCAUUAGCUAGUUGGUAAGGUAACGGCUUACCAAGGCAACGAUGCAUAGCCGACCUGAGAGGGUGAUCGGCCACACUGGAACUGAGACACGGUCCAGACUCCUACGGGAGGCAGCAGUAGGGAAUCUUCCGCAAUGGGCGAAAGCCUGACGGAGCAACGCCGCGUGAGUGAUGAAGGUCUUCGGAUCGUAAAACUCUGUUAUUAGGGAAGAACAUAUGUGUAAGUAACUGUGCACAUCUUGACGGUACCUAAUCAGAAAGCCACGGCGAACUACGU
rnacentral:rRNA from 1 species